rfam:Homo sapiens chromosome 3, GRCh38 reference primary assembly.
CCUCGCAGCAGUGUUCUGGAAUCCCAUGUGAGGGACAAACAUUCAGACACUCGCAGCAGUGUUCUGGAAUUCUAUGUGAGGGA